rnacentral:rRNA from 1 species
GAUGAACGCUGGCGGCGUGCCUAAUACAUGCAAGUCGAGCGAACAGACGAGGAGCUUGCUCCUCUGACGUUAGCGGCGGACGGGUGAGUAACACGUGGAUAACCUACCUAUAAGACUGGGAUAACUUCGGGAAACCGGAGCUAAUACCGGAUAAUAUAUUGAACCGCAUGGUUCAAUAGUGAAAGACGGUUUUGCUGUCACUUAUAGAUGGAUCCGCGCCGCAUUAGCUAGUUGGUAAGGUAACGGCUUACCAAGGCAACGAUGCGUAGCCGACCUGAGAGGGUGAUCGGCCACACUGGAACUGAGACACGGUCCAGACUCCUACGGGAGGCAGCAGUAGGGAAUCUUCAGCAAUGAGCGAAAGCUUGACGGAGCAACGCCGCGUGAGUGAUGAAGGUCUUCGGAUCGUAAAACUCUGUUAUUAGGGAAGAACAAAUGUGUAAGUAACUAUGCACGUCUUGACGGUACCUAAUCAGAGAGCCACGGCUAACUACGUG